UCUCUUUGGAAUUGCACUUAAAAUACUAUAAAAUUCUACAAAAUUAGUAUUGAUAUCAUACUUUUUUUUAAAAUUCAUCAUAUGAGAAUAAUGUAUUAUUAUCUGACAUCAGAUCAUUAAUGAAGAAUAUACUAUUUUCAAUAUAUUUGAACCUCAAAAUCAUCUUGCCAUCCAUUUUGAUGUUCGGAUUCAGCCAUAUGGACUGGGUCAAAAUUUCAGUAUUGUUUUCAGCUUUCAGCUUAUUUUUU
rnacentral:lncRNA from 1 species